AGUUGUGGCAUAGGUUGUUCACUUUAUACCGCUUCUUAAUAUACACCAACUUCUCCAUACCUUUGCUUCAGUUACCACUCUCCCUAACUUUCUUUCUUCAACCAAAGAAACUCAUUCACUUUUUCUCUUCAUCUUUAAGAGGUUACAAUUUCAUUCAUUUCUAGUUUAUUAGUUACUUCUUUUGCAGCCAAUCAUUUCUAUAAGAAACUUUUGAACAAUAAAAUGAUUUUUUUUAUUAUGCUACUAGCUGAUUAAUUGAAACCAAACAUGGAGUUUUUUUUGUUUUGUUCAUAAUUAACAUGUCUAUUUCUCAUGUUACUAUAGUUAUAUUCAGCUACAUGUUUCUGUUAUAUAUCUGAAUUAUUAUGGAGUUUGAUGAAACUGCAGGUUGCAGGCGUUCAAAAUAAAUGAUUAGAAAUAUGUUGUUAUAGUUGGAAUCUUUUGAUUGUUGGCGUCUAUGGUAGAAUCAGUCGGGGCCUAAGAGGCAGUGGUUUACCCUGUGGCGGGUGUCAGUGGUUCAAGUCUGCUUAUCUCCAACUCGUGAACUUAGCCCAUGCAAAGCUAUACGAUAGCACCCAAUUUUUCCGAUUCGGCAGUUUGAUUUGUUGCCAAAUUUAGAAAUAUCGUACUCUUUACUUUGGACUACGGUUUUCAUUUAAAACUGUGAUUGUCUACGGCAUUGACUUUUGUUUAGACCAUAGUUUUUUUAACAUAUGACAAUAGUCUUCCAAUAUCAUUGCCCAGAUAAAUAAUAUAGGCAACAGUUUGGAAGAUCCUUAACGCCAAUGAUUUAAAUUUGUUGCUAAUAUAAAAAGUUGAAAACC
rnacentral:lncRNA from 1 species